rnacentral:lncRNA from 1 species
GCGAGGUGACGAUAAAAUUCAAUGGUCUGUCAAUCCACUGACAAAUUUUGAUUGAUGUUAAACAUUGAAUCCCGACAGGUUCCGAUCGCUUUUUUCUUCUUUUUUUUUAAUUAAAUUUUCGUCAGCUAAUUUUUUUAAUUAACAAAUGGCAUAUGAUGAAUCUAUAUAAACAAAUGGGUAAUUUGCGUCUGAAUGCAUUUCCUUGAUGCUACAUCACCUUGGAGAACUGAUGCCAAAA